rnacentral:rRNA from 1 species
GACGUAGGGCGCGAGCGUUAAUCGGAAUUACUGGGCGUAAAGCGCGCGUAGACGGUUUUGUAAGUCAGAUGUGAAAUCCCUGGGCUCAACCUGGGAACUGCAUUUGAGACUGCAUGGCUAGAGUAUCGAAGAGGGAAGUGGAAUUUCCGGUGUAGCGGUGAAAUGCGUAGAUAUCGGAAGGAACACCAGUGGCGAAAGCGAACUUCCUGGUCGAAUACUGACGUUCAUGUGCGAAAGCGUGGGGAGCAAACAGGGAUUAGAAACCCCA